rnacentral:lncRNA from 1 species
UUUUAUAAGUUUUCUCUUAGUCUUUUAGUGGUUUCCCCCUCUGUCUCUCUCACUCCACGCACAGACCAGUUUCACUCCAUUCCUAGGUAAGUCGCUCUCUCUCUCUCUCUCUCUCUCUCCCUCUCGCUCACUCACCUGAUUUCCUUUUUUCGUUUUUGAUUUCCCCCAAAAAACUUCAAAUUUUAGGGAUUUUAUAUUAUUUCAAACCCUAGGUUUAAAAAAUUAAUGUUGUUCUCUUGAUUAUAUACUGUUUCAAAGAAGACAUCAACCCACCUAGAAGGGGCUUACAAUCUUCAGGAUCCAGCACUGCUGUGUUACGCUAGUCAGGGUAAAGUUUUCGACCAUCAUUUAGAGUGAUAUACUUCAUAUCUCCUAUCUACAAAUAGGUGAGUAAGUUCUCAGUUAACAUGUUAUAACCUGAGUAGUUGUUGAUAUAUUUAGCUUGGCAUGUAAUAUUGUUGAAAAAGUAUGUUGUAUUGUAAGUCUUUUCUUUUAUAUUUAUGAAAUAGACCUGUUGUUAGAGUAUGCGGGGUUUUGAUAUUUGUGUUUUGUGUGUGUGGGAAUUAAGUGAUGGGUGAUUUGGCAUUGUGGAUUAAGUUGAUUGCUCGUGAAAAAGCUGAUUUUUUAAAUGUAAAUUGUGAAAUUUUUGUUUGGUUUUCUUUAGUUAGAUCAGAUGCACUCUCAGUAAGAUGGGGUAGCUUGGUAGAAGUUUUUUUUUCCAUAAUGUGUAAAUUUAUCUUGUUGGUAGUAAUUUAAGGUGAAAGGUGCUAUGGAGCAAAGGUCGGUGGUUUCUGUAGAGUAAAUAGAUGGAUAGAUUAAUGAUUUUGUGCAAAGUUGAGGGUAAAAGUGCUUUCAUGGAAUAAAGUUUAGAUUUUUGUUGAAAAUUAUAAAUGUUUGGAUAUUUCUUUUUCCUGAUAAAUUGAAGGUAAAAAAAUCCGCUUUUUAACUUCUCAAAAGGUUGCUGCAUCAUAUGAGGCUUAUCAGUUCUUUUCCUUAAUUCUUGUGAUAACAUUUGACAUCUUUUGUAAGCGAUGUUUACUUGAUCAUAUAAACUUGUCUCAUAAAAAAGGAGAUAUGCAUGCUUGCACAAUUUGCCAUAGUGUCCCUUAAAGACAAGUUGCAAAUGGAAUAGGUCAAGCUAGUUAAUAGUUUUCCUCCCAAACUCAGUGAGCACCCGAUAUAUGACAUGAAAUAUUGUUCGGGCUCAAUCCUUUGAGUUACUUAAUUAGUUUAACUUAAAUGCCCAAAGGAAUAGAAUGGUUCACUAUUAACUAUAAGUGCCAAGAUGGACUGGGAGUAAAAAGAAUGUAAUACAAUACUGAUUAGUAUAUAUUGAAUAAAAUAAAUUAUGUACUUCUUUAUUUAAUAUUUUAUCUUGUCAUUGUGUAAUAGAUAGAACGAGAUCGUAGAUGGAUGUACGAUAGAAAUCAUCCUAAUCGGGGGGAUUGAAGGAAGAAUUUGUAGAAGGUGUUAAAGGAUUUAUUGCUUAUGCAAAAACACUUCUGGAAUUCUGUAAUGAAGGAACGAUUAGAUGUGCUUGUGCUAAGUGCAAUUGUAUAAAGUUAUUGAUACCAAAGGAUGUUUAAGUUUAUCUUUUUAGAAAGGGAUUUACAAAAAAAUUAUUAUGUGUGGAUGGUUCAUGGAGAGAACUAUAGUAAUUUAGCUGAUGUUGACUUUCAGAAUCUUAUUGGUUGUGAGAGUGGUACAUUCUUUGAGACUAAUCAAAUGCAUGAAAUGGUGCCGAAUGCUUUUGGGAUACACCUAGAAGUUCAAUCCCAACAAAAUAUUAACGAGUCUCCCAAUGAUGAGGCAAAGCACUUUUAUGAAUUUUUAGAGGCGGCUAGUCGUCCACUCUAUGAAGGCUCAACACUCAGAGUUGUCUGUUGCAGUUAGAUUACUAACUAUCAAAUCGGAUUGGAAUAUUUCUCAAGCGGCCAUGAAUUCUAUAAUUGGGCUUAUGGGUGAAGUUAGUUUGAACAUUAACUUACCCGGUGAUUACUAUAAGGUUAAGAAGUUAGUUUUCAAGUUAGGACUUUCCUCACCAAAAAGUGAUUGUUGUGAAAAAGGUUGUAUGUUAUAUUAUAAAGAUGAUGCGACUCUAGAAACAUGCAAAUUUUGUGGAUUGUCUCGUUUUAAGGAAGUUACAAAUGUCAAAGAAAAGAAAGUUCCAAUUAAGAGGAUGCAUUACUUACCUAUUAUACCUAGGUUAAAGAGGAUGUAUGCAUCAAUGAGUUCCGCUCCUCAUAUGAGAAGGCACUACGAAAAUAGAAGGGCGUAUGGUGUUUUGUGUCAUCCUUCAGAUGGAGAAGCGUGGAAGCAUUUUUAUAGGAUGUAUCCUGACUUCGCUAAUGAACCAAAAAAUGUCAGGUUGGGUUUGUGUGGAGAUGGAUUCACUCCUUUUUCUGUCUCUGUUGCACCAUAUUCGUGUUGGCCUAUUUUUGUUACACCGUAUAAUCCUUCGCCAGAGAUGUGUAUGACAAGUCCAUAUUUGUUUCUAACUGGCAUAACUCCGGGUCUAAGUAAUCCAAAAAGUUUGAUUGAUAUGUAUUUGCAGCCUUUGAUUGAUGAGCUAAGGUUAUUGUGGUAUGAAGGUGUUGAAACAUACGACAUAUCAACUAAACAAAAUUUUAAAUUGCGUGUUGUUUUGAUAUGGACUAUUAAUGACUUUCCUGCUUAUGGAAUGUUAUCAUGAUGGUCGACUGCCGGAAAGUUAGUUUGCCCUUGCUGUAUGGAAGACACAAAAGCAUUCACUUUGAAACAUGGAGGUAAGAAUACAUGGUUUGACUGUCACCGUCGAUUUUUGCCAAUGAAUCAUGAGUUCAGGAGAAAUGCUAGUGCAUGUAUGAAGAAUCGAACAGAUUAUGAUGAGCCACCAACAACCUUGUCGGGGGAGGAAAUUUGGGAGAGGGUUAAGAAUUUUCCUAAGGUAAUAGAGUCUCUAUUGCUUAAACUACCUGGUUAUGGUGUUGUGCAUAAUUGGACUAAACAGAGCAUAUUUUGGGAGUUACCUUAUUGGAAACAUAAUCUUCUUCGACAUAACUUGGACGUCAUACAUGUUGAGAAGAACUUUUUUGAUAACCUAUUUCAUACUGUAAUGGACAACAAGAACAUGACAAAAGAUAACUUGAAGGCCAGGAUGAACUUACAGUAAUACUGUAGGCGAAGAGAAUUAGAACUACGACAAGAAAAUAACAUGAUGGUGAAGCCUAAGGUCAGUUAUUCAUUCAAAAUGGAUGAAAAAAUGAAAGAUCUGUGAUUGGGUUCGAAAUUUGAGAAUGCCCUAUGGGUAUACUUCAAACUUAUCCAAUUGUGUUGACAUGAAAGAAGGAAAGUUGAUGUAUAUGAAAAGCCAUGGUUGUCACAUUUUCAUGGAAUCAUUACUUCCUAUUGCAUUUAGUGCAUUGCCUGAGAGAAUAUAGAAACCCAUCACAGAGAUAAGCUUAUUUUUCAAAGACCUAUGUUUUAAUAUAUUGAGGGAGAAAAAUCUAAUUUUGAUAGAAAGUAACAUCCAUUUAGUCAUAAACAAACUGGCAAAAAAUUUUCCAUGUGUUUUUUUCAACGUAAUGGAACAUCUCCCAGUUCAUCUUGUAAGAGAGGCACGACUUAGGGACCUGUUCAAUGUAGAUGGAUGUAUCUAUUUGAGAGGUAAUAAUCAUUAAUUAUUUUCCCUUUAUGUGUUUUGAUUACACUUCUUCCCAUCUAAAAUUAUACUAUGUAGGACUAUUGGCAAAUGUAAACGGAUGCUGAAACAAAAUCCAAAAUUGGAGGAUCAAUAUGUGAAGCAAUCUAGUUAAAGAAACUUCUUAUUUUUGUUCAUAUUAUUUUGAGCAUCACGCAUCAUGUUUGAGAAAUAGGCCAAAUCGGCAUGACGGUGAAGGUGAUAAUGAUCCUUUGGCACUACCGAUAUCCAUAUUCAAUCAACCCAGUAGAAGUUCUAAAAAGUAUAACAACUGAAACAUCCCACUUUCCUUUGUCCUAUUGGUAUGUUCUGAUGUAUAUUCCAUAUUUUUCAAUUAAAUGGAUGCUAGAAAACCAUGUCAAUGAAAAGAAAUGUCAAGGUGUAUAUUUGGACAUGAAUGAUCACUGUGGUAUUUGAAAGUACUGUACUGCUACUGAUCUUUCCUUCUUUGCCUUGGCAUAUUCUCAAGGUCUUUAAAUAGUUAGUAGAGGACUUUCUGGCUAAAUGAGUUGGGGGUAGCAUGCAUUUAUGCCGCUACAUGAAUUAAAUGGUCCAAAAAGAGGCUUCCUUUUCAAAGAUUGCUGCAUUGUGGAAGCAAAUGUUUCUGUCAUUGGUGUUGUCAAUGGCCUAACCUAAUUGUUGAUUCUAUCUAACAAGCAAAAUAUUUCAUAAUAUUAUAUGCUCGCACUUGGACUAAAUAUCUUAUAUACAUUAAGUUCAGUGAUUUUGUUAGCCACUUUACUGACCAUAACUUAUGAUAUGUUCUGUUCUGCUAGUGUUUGAUUAUGUAUAAGGUUUCUUAUCUCUUCCUUGUUAUCUUUACUGGUCUAUUUUCUACAGGUCUUUGGUAUAUUUCUUGGAGAAUAAUACUCAUUUCAUAGUUAUAUCACUGGGCCUUUUUUCUACAAUGGGGAAAUCCGUGCUGAACUAUUUUCGUGAAGCUCCUUGAAGUGUUAAUUUUGUGUGCUUAAUUAGGCAAUUCAUGGGAAUGAGUGUAUUCUGAAGAAAAAGAAAAAUACAUGGGAAAACAAAAGGCGAAAGUUGUUAUGUGCAUUACAUGUUGCUUACUUAUUUAAAUACAGCACAACACUUAUUCUCAUGUUUACUUUAAAGUUUGAGAAAUAAAGAUACUUGC